GCAGAACGCGAAGAACCUUACCAAGGCUUGACAUAUACGAGAACGCUCUAGAAAUAGAGAACUCUUUGGACACUCGUAUACAGGUGGUGCAUGGUUGUCGUCAGCUCGUGUCGUGAGAUGUUGGGUUAAGUCCCGCAACGAGCGCAACCCUCGUUCUAUGUUGCCAGCGGUUCGGCCGGGAACUCAUAGGAGACUGCCGGGGUCAACUCGGAGGAAGGUGGGGAUGACGUCAAAUCAUCAUGCCCCUUAUGUCUUGGGCUUCACGCAUGCUACAAUGGCCGGUACAAAGGGCUGCAAUACCGUAAGGUGGAGCGAAUCCCAAAAAGCCGGUCUCAGUUCGGAUUGAGGUCUGCAACUCGACCUCAUGAAGUCGGAGUCGCUAGUAAUCGCAGAUCAGCAUUGCUGCGGUGAAUACGUUCCCGGGUCUUGUACACACCG
rnacentral:rRNA from 1 species